rnacentral:rRNA from 1 species
UUGCUCUUCUUGGAUGAGUUGCGAACGGGUGAGUAACGCGUAGGUAACCUGCCUUGUAGCGGGGGAUAACUAUUGGAAACGAUAGCUAAUACCGCAUAACAAUGAAUGACUCAUGUCAUUUAUUUGAAAGGGGCAAUUGCUCCACUACAAGAUGGACCUGCGUUGUAUUAGCUAGUAGGUGAGGUAACGGCUCACCUAGGCGACGAUACAUAGCCGACCUGAGAGGGUGAUCGGCCACACUGGGACUGAGACACGGCCCAGACUCCUACGGGAGGCAGCGGUAGGGAAUCUUCGGCAAUGGGGGCAACCCUGACCGAGCAACGCCGCGUGAGUGAAGAAGGUUUUCGGAUCGUAAAGCUCUGUUGUAAGUCAAGAACGAGUGUGAGAGUGGAAAGUUCACACUGUGACGGUAGCUUACCAGAAAGGGACGGCUAACUACGUGCCAGCAGCCGCGGUAAUACGUAGGUCCCGAGCGUUGUCCGGAUUUAUUGGGCGUAAAGCGAGCGCAGGCGGUUUGAUAAGUCUGAAGUUAAAGGCUGUGGCUCAACCAUAGUUCGCUUUGGAAACUG